CGUCCCGUAGUUCAACGGUAGAGCAUCCGGCUCAUAACCGGAAAGUUCUGGGUUCGAGUCCCAGCGGGACCACCA
rnacentral:tRNA from 1 species